rnacentral:lncRNA from 1 species
GGGGAAUGAGGGACUAAAGUAGCUUACUUUUGGUAUUUUUUUUUCUUUCUUUAAGCCUUUGCUAUUCUAAAGCCAAAAGUCUCUGGCUUCUGGUAAUUAUCUCCUGUUAAUAGCAGCAGGGGAUUAAGAGAAGAAGGUUUAUUAGUUUCUGUCUGGCUUAAGGAUCCCUCCCUGGUAGGCCAGGUGAGAGGCUUGGAGUUCAUAAACUGUUCAUGAGCCAGAGAGAAAAGAAAGGGAGAAUUCAAGCACACAUAGACACACACAGACACACACUUUGGUUGGGCAUGAACACCUAUCUCAACAACUUCAUAAGUAGUAAUGCAUACUUACAUACAUGCACAUAUACCUAGACACAUAUGUAUGUACAUACAUAUAGACAGACAUACAGACACACACACAUAUAGAUACAUAUAUAUUUAUAUAUACUUGGUGGGUGGGAAGAAAUUCUAUUAUAAAAUUACCUCAUAGACAAAAUGUUACAUAAAAGGGGAGUUACAGAAGGAUGUUGAUAAUAAGUACAAAGCAGUGUUUCAUUCUAUAAGCUCAUUAUAAGUUUAAAGUAACCAUUUCACAGAGCCUUGCUUUAUCAUAGCGCAUACCUGUGGCUUCAUCCUUGGACCUGGCCUUGAAUGAAUGUUUUUCCUUGAUCACAGAUUUGUUUCAGGCCUACUUUCUUAUCCUAGUGCAGUUGGCCUGUGACACAUGAAGGUUUACGGGGCUCUAUUUGCAACUUUAUUCUAUAGGGGGAUUGAGAUUACUUGUACCAAUUUAAGAGUUCUUGUAUGAAUUUAAGAGUUCUAUAAAGUCAUUAUCAGAAAUCGUGAAAUCAUAUAUAAUCAUCUCUAUAAGUGUUACUAUAUGAGAGUACAUUUUCAUGUUGAUCUGCAGGAAAUUUGCCCAGUAGAAUCCAAAGGCAGGCAAUAUAGUCAGAGACAGCACUCUUAAUCACUGAGCCAUCUCUCCUGCCUCUGAGUCGUAUUUUAAAUCCAAAUAGAUUGUGUAUUGACUGUUUGAAAGGGAUUGCUUUCUUCAUGAUUCUGAAUUAUUGUUUUAGAUAUGAAUGAACACUAUGGUUUAUUAAUUUAUUUGCAUGUAUAAAUGACUAUGUGCAACAAUGUAUUCAUAUGUGUAUUGCUGUCAUAUGUGUAUUGCCCCCCCCACAUAUGUAUAUAGAUACAUGCUAAUUAUAUUUGAUGUUAAUUCUGUCCUCCUGUGAGGGGCUGCAAACAAGGAAUGAGUCAGCACUUAGGUGAUUUCCUGUAAACUGCUUUCCACCUUAAUUUGUAAAAUAAAGGACAGCUGAUGAUUGGGCAGAUAAAAGGGAAGGUGGUGCAGAAGGUUGGGAGAGAGAAGGAGAGAAUGGGAGAGAGAGAGAGAGGAGAAAGAAGAAAAGUGGAGCAGAAGCACAUGGCUUGGAGAAACUGAAAGUUAUAAGGGGUCUCAUAGAUGUGGAACAUGGUAAUGUAGUGGUAGAUCUGCCCAAUCUAGGCACACAGCAUGUGUAUUC